rnacentral:rRNA from 1 species
GAUGAACGCUGGCGGCGUGCCUAAUACAUGCAAGUCGAGCGAACGGACGAGAAGCUUGCUUCUUUGAUGUUAGCGGCGGACGGGUGAGUAACACGUGGAUAACCUACCUAUAUGACUGGGAUAACUUCGGGAAACCGGAGCUAAUACUGGCUAAUAUUUUGAACCGCAUGGUUCAAAAGUGAAAGACGGUCUUGCUGUCACUUAUAGAUGGAUCCGCGUUGGAUUAGUUAGUUGGUAAGGUAACGGCUUACCAAGGCAACGAUGCAUAGCUGACCUGAGAGGGUGAUCAGCCACACUGGAACUGAGACACGGUCCAGACUCCUACGGGAGGCAGCAGUAGGGAAUCUUCCACAAUGGGCGAAAGCCUGACGGAGCAACGCCGCGUGAGUGAAGAAGGUCUUCGGAUCGUAAAACUCUGUUAUUAGGGAAGAACAUAUGUGUAAGUAACUGUGCACAUCUUGACGGUACCUAAACAGAAAGCCACGGCUAACUACGUG